AACAACCCCCUAAACGUGCAAUAUCCAAGCUUAUAUCGGAUAGUUAGACAUAAGUUUAUCACGAUUAAGCAAGUGUUGGGUCAAGAAAACCCAGAUAUUUCUUUUCGUAGAACGCCCUUUGAACCUCGUUUGACAGCAUGGGAGGAUUUGCUAACCCGUUUGGGAGCCAUUCGGCUGUCGGAGGAACCAGACAUCUUUCGAUGGAAAUUGCAUCAUAGUGGAAAGUUUUCGGUCAAAUCCAUGUAUGAUGCCUUGGUACAUAAUGAGGUCCCAAUUGAUAAUAGAAAACUGUGGAAGCUUAAGAUUCCUCUAAGAGUAAAAAAAUUUCCUAUGGUUUCUCAAUAA
rnacentral:rRNA from 1 species